AGUAGCUCCUCUUCCUUCCGUCUCUCCCUUACCCUCUCUGUAGGUGGGUCAGUUUGAGAAUCAAAAGAGAACUGUAAGGAAUAAAGAGGGAGUCCUUUAUUCCCUUCUCAUGGGGGAGACUAAGUUACAUUCCCUUAUCUGCGCUCUGAGAAGUUUAAGCUGCACGCAGCUGCUGAUUCCAGGCUUCAGAUGAAAAGCAACAGCCUUCCUCAGGCCAGCGCAUAGACUGUUUAUCUCAGUGGGCUGUCAAACCCGGACCCUGGGUUCCCUGUAGAACCCCUAAGCAAACCAGACCAGUUAGGCAAGGUUUUGAAAAGCCAAAAAGAUUGCUUAUGUACUAUCUACUGCAAAAAGGCCGGGUCACAGCACCUUUACCUGGAGCUGCUCUACACUCAUGAUUGAAAAUUGCUGACUUACACAGAGAGACAGCCAGCAAGAGAGGGAACACAGCAUGGGGAGUGGGAG